UCCUGUGUGGCUCAGUUGAUAGAGGAUGGUGCUUGGAACACCAGGGUUGUGGGUUCGAUUCCCACAGGGGAA
rnacentral:tRNA from 1 species